rnacentral:lncRNA from 1 species
CUGGUUCUGGUUUAGGUCCAGGUCCAGGUUCUGGUUCAGGUCUGGGUUUAGGUUUGGGUUUGGGUUCAGGUUCUGGUUCUGGUUCUGGACUCCCCAUAAUGGAGCUGCACCACCUGCAACACAACGGGGUCAAGGCUCUGGGUCUGGUUCUGGUUCGGGUUCUGGUUUGGGUUUAGGUUCUGGUUCCCCCCCCAUAGGGUUUUAGUGUGGUCGGGGUCUGGUUCUGGUUCUGGUUUAGGUUCUGGUUCAGGUUCUGGUUCUGGUUUAGGUUCUGGUUUAGGUUCUGGUUCUGGUUUAGGUUCUGGUUCUGGUUCUGGUUUAGGUUCUGGUUUAUGUUCUGGUUCUGGUUUAGGUUCUGAUUCUGGUUUAGGUCCAGGUCCAGGCUCUGGUUCAGGUCUGGGUUUAGGUUUGGGUUCAGGUUCUGGUUCUGGUUCUGGACUCCCCAUAACGGAGCUGCACCACCUGCAACACAACGGGGUCAAGGCUCUGGGUCUGGUUCUGGUUCGGGUUCUGGUUU